rnacentral:misc_RNA from 1 species
UUUCCGUAGGUGAACCUGCGGAAGGAUCAUUAGUGAAUUGAAUAUGUUAGCGGACCUCUUCGCAGUCCCUAGCAUCCAAUCAUAUCCAUAACACCUGUGAACUGUAAGGCUGUCUUGAAGGCGAAAGUGAUUAGAGCGCCUGCCCAUUUUAUACAAAUCUUAAAGUAACAAACGUAGUUACAUUAAAAUCUAAUAAAACUUUCAACAACGGAUCUCUUGGCUCUC